rnacentral:rRNA from 2 species
UACGAAGGGGGCUAGCGUUGCUCGGAAUUACUGGGCGUAAAGGGCGCGUAGGCGGAUAGUUUAGUGAGAGGUGAAAGCCCAGGGCUCAACCUUGGAACUGCCUUUCAUACUGGCUAUCUUGAGUACGGGAGAGGUGAGUGGAACUCCGAGUGUAGAGGUGAAAUUCGUAGAUAUUCGGAAGAACACCAGUGGCGAAGGCGACUCACUGGCCCGUUACUGACGCUGAGGCGCGAAAGCGUGGGGAGCAAACAGG